rnacentral:rRNA from 1 species
GAUGAACGCUGGCGGCGUGCCUAAUACAUGCAAGUCGAGCGAACAGACGAGGAGCUUGCUCCUCUGACGUUAGCGGCGGACGGGUGAGUAACACGUGGAUAACCUACCUAUAAGACUGGGAUAACUUCGGGAAACCGGAGCUAAUACCGGAUAAUAUAUUGAACCGCAUGGUUCAAUAGUGAAAGACGGUUUUGCUGUCACUUAUAGAUGGAUCCGCGCCGCAUUAGCUAGUUGGUAAGGUAACGGCUUACCAAGGCAACGAUGCGUAGCCGACCUGAGAGGGUGAUCGGCCACACUGGAACUGAGACACGGUCCAGACUCCUACGGGAGGCAGCAGUAGGGAAUCUUCCGCAAUGGGCGAAAGCCUGACGGAGCAACGCCGCGUGAGUGAUGAAGGUCUUCGGAUCGUAAAACUCUGUUAUUAGGGAAGAACAAAUGUGUAAGUAACUAUGCACGUCUUGACGGUUCCUAAUCAGAAAGCCACGGCCAACUACGUG